GAAACAACAGCUCCAAAAGACAACCAUCAAAGCAUGACACUGAAACAGCAGCUCCAAGCUUGCCUACAUCCAAAAGCUUCUUGAUAUCCCAGGAUAUUCUUCACAUGCCAUUACUGGUUUAGAGAAAAUAGAGGAAGGGUCAGGAUGGAGGUAGUCUGCAUUGGAAUUAUCUUCUGCCACUUUGUGCAACAAAAAAUAAAAUGGAUUAUCAGGAGAAGUAGCUAGUAGAACAAUAUUCAAAUGUUAUGCAUGCUCAUGAAUGAAAUAACAAAUCUACUACAUCAAUAUAGUUUUUAUUCACCAAAAAGCUUCAGGAGCAAAGGUUAUGGCUCCAUAUACUAGAAUGACGAAUUUUAGUUUAUAGUUUGUACUCCAGCACAACAAAACUCUAAGGAUACAAAGAAAGCAACAUAGACACAAACAGCCCGCUGUUGGCUUGGACUAGCCAUUUGUCAAUUGUCACAUAGAAGGAAAAUCCACGGUGAAAAAUGUGAAUCAAAAAUCAGGCAUAAGCUCAAGGUAUUGCAGGAUAAAUAUAGUGGUAACAUACCUAUAAAACAGCAGCUCCAAGCUUGCAUACAUCCAAAAGCUUCUUGAUACCCUUAGUUCUUCAUGUGGCAUUUUUGGUUUAGAGAAAACAGAGAAAGGAUCAGGAGGGAUGUAGUUCAACAUCAAAAUUUUCUUCUUCCACUUUGUGCAUAAUCAAAUAAAAUGGACUAACAGAGAACAUCACUACUAGGUGAUUGGUAGCAAUUAGAACAACACUGAUAGGUGGCAAUUACAACAGCAAUACAAGAAGAUAAGUGGCAACACUGAUAAGUAUAGCAACUACAACAUCAAUACAAGAAGAUAAGUGGCAAUUAUAACACUACUAGGUGAUAAUUGACAAGUAGCAAUUAGAGCAACAAUACUGAUCAUACACAGUGAGAAUAAACAUUAGAGCACCAUAACAAUUAAAUAUCAACCUACUUAAAGAAAGAAAUGCACAUCAAGCUAUUUGCUUCAAACAUAAAAAACAUCAAGCUAAAAUUUUGAAGCGGAGACGCCGAAAAUAAGAGACUUACCAAAUCUACGAGUAGAGGCUGUUCACUUCCUUGGUCUUCUUCCUAACUAGUCGUCCAGAUCUACGAGUCUCCAAAUUGCCAACACUUGCUGCUGUCUCCUUUUCAGCUUGUACUUGUGUCUCUUCUUCCACUUGCAUUUGUGUCUCUUGCAGAUCUUGUUGAUCAUCCUCAUCAUCCUCACUCACCCCAUCAUCAUCCUCACUCUCAUUAUCAACAUACUCAUUCUCUUCAUCGUCAUCCUCACUCUCAGUUUCCACUUGCAUUUGCAUCAUGGUUGCCACUACCACUCCUAUUUGCAUUUCCAUUACCUGAAAAUCACAUGACAAAAGAACAACGGUCAGCUAUGAAGAGUAGGUAACUAAGAAAGCCACACUUGCUUACUAGGGUGUCCCCAUAUGAAUGAUAAACAAAAACAGUACAACCCGAUCUACUAGGGUGUCACUUGCUUACUUAAUGGUAUUGCUGACCAUUGAAAUUAAUCAUUGGGUCAACAUCUACUUACUUAAAUACACACGUAACACAACUGCUUUUUUAUUGGACGUGCUGUAGAUCUAAAUAAAUGAUCGAUUCAAACAUCUGAUGCUUCUUCAAAUAUACAAGCCAGUGGUUGGAUGUGAUAAAAGACGCUAUAACAUUGCGCACAAGAAUCAUCUCAACAGCUCAAAACGCAAGCACACAACCCAGAUUUAUGGAACGAUUGUAUAUUUGAGGAUGUUAAUAACAAGGUUUGUAACCCACUUUUCUUUUGGACCAAAAUAAAUAUUACCAGAUCGUGAGCAUCCUUGGUGACUAGAAGCAAAAUAUGCAUGAAAACAGAUGUGAAUCAUACAAAAUUACAUGGUAAUAGAGCACAUCUUGCUUCUUCCAUCCUUUGGCAGUCAGGCUCAUUAAUUGUUAGUUGCCAACUCGUCGUAUUCCAUGCAUAUGCAGUAGCAAGUAGACGGAAAAUCUUUCUAAUGCCAGCAGAUGCAACAAGUAGAGGGCGAACCCAACUAGCAAGCAAGCAGUCCGAUGCAGCAACAAGCAGGAAGCUACUCGUACAACAAUCGAUCAAGCUGCUUGUAAUAGCUAGCUAGCUGUGUACGUACAAUUAAUCAAGCUGCUUGUAAUAGCUAUAUAGCUUUGUAUAGAUUGCUGCUUCAAGCACUACCGGAAUCGCACCCUAUGCCGACGGCCAGGCCAUGACUAGCCGUCGGGUCAGGCCUAUGCCGACGGCCCCCGUCGGCAUAGGGCCGUCGGCAACAUAUCCGUCGGCGUAGCCAGGAUGACCGUCGGCAUAGAAAAGCCGUCGGCAUAGACCCUAUGCCGACGGUGGCCGUACAUCUAUGCCGACGGCCUUGGCCGUCGGCAACGUCAUCGCCUAACGGCGGCCGCCGUCAAGUGCUGCCCAAUGGCUUCUCGCCACGUGGCGAGACGCCGUUCAGCAUGGGCGUGUCUAUGCCGACGGCCCAGCCGUCGGCUUAGUUUGAAAUUAUGCCGACGGCUAGGCCGUCGGCAUAGACACGCCACGUGUCAGAUACUGGGCGCUCCUGGGGCAGGUCUAUGCCGACGGCCUGGCCGUCGGCAUAGACGUGCCACGUGUCGGCCACUGGGAGCUCACGCCAGGCCUAUGCCGACGGCCAGGCCGUCGGCAUAGAUUCUGUCCAGUUUUUUUUUCUUUUUUCUGUUUCUUUUCAGCUCAAUUCAUUUGAAUAUAUAACAAACAGCAUAUAGAACAAACAGCAUAUACACAGCAUCACACAACAAAUUGGCAUCGCUAAGAAGCAUCGCAAAGCAUCACACAUAUAAAGUAUCAUCACCACAAAGCAUAUAAGAAUCUCACAAACAACAAUAAGAUAAGUAUCAUCACAAGCAUACAAGUAUCAUAGCAUCGAGAACAAGCAAGUAUCAUAGCAUCGAGAAAGGCUUAAGCGCCAGGACGUCGAGCACCGCGGAGGUCGUCACCGCCAAGACCGCCGAAGCCCAGGUCGUCACUGCUAGCGGCAGCGCUACCGCCAAGACCGCCUCCGCCUCCGUCUCCGUGGAUCGGAGUGGUCGGGCUCCGUGUCUCGGGAGUGUUGCGAAGACCACCGCCAAUGGUAGAUGCACCUGUUCCCUGGAUGUUGAAAAGAUAUAUUAACGAGAUAUAAGACUGUGUUGAAAGGCAUGACAUGCUUUGGGUGAAUUGAUUGGGGAUGAACUAACCGGCGAGGGGCCAGUGUUCUGUGCCACAAACUCCUCAAAGGUCAGCAGCACUGGUUGUGCUGGAGGACCCUCUGCUGAUGGCCAUUGAAGACACUUGCCGGCCGCCAUUUCCUGAAAAGCGUGCUGCAUCUCGCGAUCCCUCUGCUGAUGGUAUGCAUGAAGGCGGUCGUGCCACGCCAUGGUCUCAUGGUGUGUGUACUCCAUGUAGGCCUACAGUAUGACAUGAUGAGACUCAUAAAACUACUAAAUGCGGAAAAUAAAGGGAACAAUGAAGAUAAAAGGGAAAAUACUUACAGUUUGCUGCUCCGGAAAGAGGGACAGUGACGGUGCACUGCUCAUGCGCGAGCUCGUGCGCUGGCUCAGGGUCGGGUUGAUCCGACGGAGCUGUGUGUAGGAGAUAGACGGAGUGAUCACAGCAUCGAGAACCGCCUCCCUUUCGUACAGAUCCGCCGCAAUGGGGUCAGGUGUGUCAGGAUGUAACGCCAGAUACCCUUCGGAGUAGGCCUUCUUCCUCCCCGCGGUCUUCUUGCGGUAGUACUUGGGCUCGCCAGGCUUGGGGUCCUUCCGCGUAUGGGCGAUCUCCCACGCCUGCAUGUGUGAGAGCGGCCGCUUCAGUUUCUCCUCCUGCACCACCAAACAGAGGUUAGUCAUACAUAAGAAAGUGAUGGUAAAUAGAAGAAGAAGAAUGUUUAAUGGGGUUAGCUAGUCAUACAUUAACUGCCUUGUGGAGAUAGUGGUUUCGGUUCCCCUGAGCAUGUACUCCCUCCUUCCCUCGGUUAGCCUUGUUUUUGACUCUCAUAGCCGCCCAGGCUCCAGCCUCAUCACACCAAAGAUCCACCAAUGCCGCCCAGGACUCGUCUUUUCCAUAACACCAAUUUGGACACACCUACAUAAUAAAAGCAUAAUGGCAUGUCAACACGAAACGGUGAAAUGUACCACAAGGUAAUGAAAGCAUAAUGAAAGCAUAAUGAAAAAUCUUUUAUACUUACCGCCAAGAACUCGUCCCUCUCCAAGGUAAUGCCCAUCCUCCGCGCUUCUUCCUUGGUCAUCUUCACACCAAGAUAGUCGUGGUAGUAUGUCGAGAUGGCCACAUAGCGCACCUCGUACUGCAUCUGGCGGGCCUUCUUCUUGCAUUGGCGUAGCACGAUCUGGUCCGCUCUGCCCCUGUGCUCCGGGAGAACUCGAUAGAAUUUCUACAAUCAUGCACGAAACAAGAAUGGAAGAAGCCAUGAGUUAAAUCAUUCAUGAAACUAGAAUGGACUUGUGCUUCUGAAGAGAACUCACCUAGAAAGUGGUGAUCACGGCCUUGGCAUGGGUCCCAUGCUCCGCGUGGAGGGCCGCUUCCCAGUGCUCCCAGCUCGUGGCCAAGACCCGAUGGUCCGGGUGCCUGACUGGAUCCGGACAGUACAACCCCGGCCAGUGUAACUUCAGCAGGACGGUGAUGAGGCCGUUGGGAAUACGGACCCCUUUAGAAUAUAUCCAGUUGCUGCAAAAGAAUGAACUAUUAGCAUGUGACAAGAAAAAUAAAUAACAACCGGAAUGAGCAUGUGACAAGCAAAAUAAUGAAAUUAUUAUAAAGUGGCACUUACUCUUUCCCCGUGGGCUCAAUGAGCCACUUCUGCUCCUCAGUAGCAGGAACCUGCUUUGGUAGCUUUGCGUUACCACGCAGCCACCCCUUGUUGUCAACCCCCUCCCCGCUAGCACCAUCAUCCCCGCCACCACCCUCCUCCUCGCCUGCCUUCCCCUCCCCAACCUCCUCCUCAUCCUCCUCCUCCUCGUCCUCCUCCUCCACCUCCUCCUCGGCCCCAUCCCGAACCUCCUCCUCCUCGCCUGCCUCGUCCUCCUCCUCCUCCUCACCAGAGGAGGUUACCUCACUAGAGGAUGGCCUCGAAGACAACACCCCUAAGUCGGUGAGGGUGCGCUCUUUCUGGCCGCGACCCCCUGUAGUGGCUCUCCCCCACCUCGCCCUCUAGGGGCUCUCCCCCCGCCCCCUCCUCCUCUAGGGGCACCUCUCCCUCGACCUCCCUGUGAGGAGUCAUCGUCAAGUAGCCGGGGGGGGAGGAUUACGUGCUCGACCACUCCGACUAGGCAGGCCAACGACCUUGCGUAGGAAACCCACGCCGUCGGCCUUCCCCUUGCCCAUGUUCCACGAACCUGCAUUGAAAAGAGAAUAAGCAAUUAGUAAAUUAAUGAAAUGAAGGAAAAGGCAUGAAAAUAAACACAUUAAUAAAAAGGCAUAUUCCUAAACUAUAGAAAAAAGACUUGACACGUACAUCUGCUAGAAACCAUAUGAAUCAUCACUGUUGUAACCUCUUUCUCGGUCCGUCUCAUCAUCACUAUCAAUCAUAUCAUCUUCGUUGUCUGACGGAGGUGGAGGCUCUUCCUCGUCGUCAGCGUCUAAGUUUAACUUUUCUAGCAUAAGUAUGUCAUUUUCAUUGACAAUAGUCUCACCAUCAUUCCGUGCUUCGUCGUCGUUUGGAUCCACAUCAUCAUCACCCAAUGGUCUAGCGUCAUCGUUUCUAACCACAUCAUCAUCAUCAGGUUGCUCUUGAUAGAACACUCCCUCGUAUGUCAUGGGGUUAAUGUUGUAGUAAUCGUCUUCAUUCGGGUUCGGUAGCUUACCAUGUGGCGACACCUUGAACACAACUUCCCAACCCUUUAGGUACUCUUUCUGGCAUGGGUAAGGCAGAUAAUAUACUUGUGUAGCUUGGGUAGCCGCAAUGAAGAGAUCGGCUCCGGCAUAGACGGUUGAUGGUUUAACUUCGACCAAACCAAUGGAAGGCGUAUGUUUUACCCCCUCCCGCGGAUCGAACCAUCGACAUUUGAACAUAGGCAGACUUAGGGUCUCGCGCCCCUGGUGGAAUUUAAUCUCGUAUAUAUUUUGUACCCUUCCGUAGUAGUCUACUGAAUUUUGACCGGGGGUGUACACUCCGGUAUUUAUAGUUUUGGGAUCAGGCCGGCUGUUCUGGUGAUCCUCUGUAUGGAAACGAUACCCAUUCACAUCAUACUUUUUACAUGUCAUGACGGCAGGGUCAAAACCCAUGGAAACCCAUCUCAAUUCAUCAUCCAUAGAUAUGUUCGGAUCUUUUCCCUACAAGUAUCAUUGAAAUUGUUGCGUGCAUUAGUUAACUAAUAAAUGUUGAACUAGGUAUUUAAUAGGGGAGUGUGGACAAUUACUUUCUCCAUGAACCAAGCAACAAAAUUUUUACGUCCAGGGUUUCCAUGACGGAGAAGAGUAAGUGCCUCCGCCUCAGUAGGAGGAUUCAUUCCCGUCCAUUCCUCUUGAACGAAAUCACUAAAAAAAAGAAAACCGGUGUUAAACCGGGACUAAGUGAACAUAAAACAUGAUGAUGUGGAAGACAUAAAGGAAUGGUGUAGUGGUAUUACCUCAUCCACACUUCCUCAACUUCCCUGAUGUUGUGCAAGAUAUAGAACAUGAGGUCCUCCCACUCUUGUCGUGGCAUGUUAUAAGGUUUCGAGGCCCCAGCCCUCCCACCUUGCGCGUUGAAUAGAUAGAGCUUGGGUUGAUAAUUCGGCUCUUCUAUAUUGUAUCGAGGCACCUUGUUAUGCAGAUGGGGAACGUGGUCUGGAUAGUAUGAUGUCCUGAGGUCUGACACCUCCUCUAGGAUAACUGCCUCAGCUAUGGAAGCUUCAAUCUUAGCUUUGUUUCCACAUUUCUGUCGGAGAUGCUUGUUCUGUCUCUCAGGGCCGUACUGCCAGCGAUUCUGCACAGGCCCCCCCAACAAUACCUCGUUCGCGAGGUGCAGAAUGAGAUGUGUCGUCGGUGUAAAGAAGCCUGGCGGAAAGAUCUUCUCUAGCUUGACUAUCAACUCCGGUGCCUUCUUAUGCAAUUUUUCAAUCACGUCUUUACUUACUUCUUUAGCACAGAGCGUGCGGAAGAAAUGGCUUACCUCGGCAAGCACUCGCCAGACAUGCUCGGGGACAUAGCCUCGAACCAUCACCGGCAUUAUCCGCUCAAUCCAUACAUGGUAGUCAUGACUCUUCAGGCCGGUCACUUUGCCCGUUGAAAGAUUGACUCCCUUACUUAUAUUCGAUGCAUAACCAUCGGUGAACUUCAAAAUGUGUUUCAGCCAGAUAAGUACUUCCUUUUUUCUGGCGGUUUAAGGACAAAGUCAGCAUCUGGCUUGAACCAGUUUUUUCGACCGCCUGUGGGAGGCUUCAUGUUCAGACGUGGUCUAUCACAAAUUCUCUGUUGAUCGGCUCUAGCUUUAACGUUAUCCUUCGUCUUAUCAGGAAUAUUGAGGAUCGUGUGGAAAAGGGACUCUGCCACAUUCUUUUCGGUGUGCAUCACAUCGAUAUUGUAAGGAAGUUUGAGGUCCUUGAAAUAGGGAAGCUGUGAGAAGGGGGUAAUGUGUGUCCAGUUGUGUGUCUCACCAUAUCCCUCGAAGCCUUUGGCUUUGGCUUUGCCUUUGCCUUUGACUUUAGGCUGGAGAGCUUUUAGCUGAGCAAGAACAUCUGCCCCCAAAAAUGUUGGAAUAUCGGUUACUUCAUGAACAACCCGGCCUUUCGUGAAGUUCUUCUUGUCUUCCCUGUCUGGAUGGUCUGGAGGGAGGAACUGUCGAUGCAGGUCAAAGGCUACAUACUUGCCACCCUUACUCAGCCAAAUCAUUCGCAGAGCCUGCAUGCACACUGGGCAUGGCAUCUUCCCACUUGUACACCAUCCGCAGAAUAGAGCAUAGCCGGGAAAGUCAUGCAUGCAAUAGUGCAACCAAACUUUCAUCAAGAAAUUUCUCUGCAGAUCCCGGUCGUAUGUCAACGUCGGAAAGUACCAAGAAUGGUGCAAAGCAUCCACCAGCGGCUGCAUAAACACACCCAAUUGCUUCCCCGGAUAAUCAGGCCCCGGAAUGAUGAGCGACAAGAACAUGGUCUUGCGUUGCAUUAGGGCACCGGGAGGAAGAUUGAGCGGAAUUACAAACACGGGCCAGCGGCUGUAUGGAUUGGACGACAUACCAUAUGGAUUCAACCCAUCACCUGAUAUGGCUAUUCUGACAUUCCCAGCCUCGGCUGCUUCCUCGGGGUAUUCUUCAUCGAACGACUUCCAUGCUUCCCCUUCCGAUGGAUGUACGAUUUUUUUUGGAUUGUACCUUAUACCUUCCUUGUGCCACUUCAUCAUUUUGGCAGACUCCUUCGUGAUGAAAAGGCGCUGCAAUCUUUUUAUAAAAUCAAGAUACCGAAGAACCUUAACGGGGAUGGUUAGCUGCUUUUUCUCACCAUCCUCACCGACCACCUCAAUGUACCGAGACGAACCGCACUGCCUACAGUACUUGUCAUCCGCAUACUCAUGCCUAAACAAAAGGCAAUUCUUCAGGCAAACAUCUAUUUUCUCAUAAUCCAUAGAGAGUGCCUUCAUGAUUUUCUUUGUAUCGUACAUGCUUUUCGGCAGUUCAUGACCCUCAGGGAGGCUGUUAGCCCAUACUCCCAAGAAUGCUUCGAAGCAUUUCUGGCUAUAGCCGUACUCAGCCUUGACUGCAAUCAGUUGCGAGAUGGCAUCCAGCUGAGAUAUUUUCGCCCCCGCAUAAAGAGGUUUCUUCGACGAGGCCAAGACCUCCAAGAAGGCCUUUGCGGUUGCCUCCGGCUCCUCCGGUUCAUUCUCUGAAGGUGUCGCAUUUCCUGUUUCUGCAACAAUGACAUCAUCUAGCAUGUCCCUGACCCCGUCGUCCUCAUAUCCAUCGAUGCGUUGUCGCAUCACCUCCUCUCUACCACGGUCCUGCUCGGCUAUGUUUAUCGGCGGCAUGUCAAAGUUUGGCAUAUAUCCGUGCGUGCGAAGGUGCUCACUCAUGUCCGUCUGAUUUCUACGGUGACGUCUGGCACAUCUCGCACAGGGGCAUGGUGGGAUAAUUCUCAUUGGACGACGGAAUAUCUCCUUCAAAUAGACAUCGGUUUUCGCGAUCCACUCUGAUGUUACUCGAUUCCGACGGAUAAAACCACUGUACAUCCACUGAUUAUCUGCCAUCCUCUGCUUUUUUGCAAGCCACACAACAUAAUUAAGGAUUCAUUUAAAUUAAUCACAUCAAAUUUUCAGUUUCUACCGCGUUUAAUCCACCUACAUCUCUAAUAGGUAAAGAUGGGUCCUAAUCCCACCCGAGGAUGUGUAGAUUGAGUACGUUCUCCAUUCUACCCCGUUCCGAGACAAAAUUUUGGCAGCACCUCCCCGCUGUUCUCCAGAUACACGUCUCGGCAAAUAGCCGAGAGAAUGUGCUCCGGAGAACAAUGGGGAGGCGCCGCCGAAAUCCUGUCUCGGAAUGGGGUAGAACAUGGAGAACAUACCCAAUCUACACAUCCUCGGGCUGUCCGUGGAAAACGCUGGACAAUCCGAAAGAGCUGCGGUGAUAAAUAUGCAAUUGAAUGCAUAUUUAUCGAUGCAACCCUUUCAGACGGGAGACGCCUAAGUUACGCCACUUGACUUGAGAAUGAAAUCUAGUGACAUGAAAACAUGGAGGAGAUGGACUUGUAGCUCACCCUCGGCUGUAGGGGAAGGAGUCGAACAACAGAGGGAUGCUCACAGACCAACGCGUCGGACGACGGUCACUUUGGUGAAAUGCAACACCACAAAGCCUGCAAAUUCCACCGAAAGAACAACUUAGUCAAAAAAAUCAUUAUGAACAAUUUUGUCUUCAGUUAUUUUAUCAACAUCAUUAUGUGUAUCAACAUGACCUAACAUUAAAUUUCUGACAAACAAAGCGGUCCCGACGGCCUCGUAUAUGCCGACGGCCCCGUCGGCAUAUAUGUAUUUAUGCUGACGGCUUUUCUACGCCUACGGCCUGCCCUUGGCCGUCGGCAUAGCGGCAUUUAUGCCGACGGGUGCCGUCGGCAUAGAUUUGGCCGUCGGCAAACGAAGUUUUUCUGGUAGUGAAGUAGGAAGAUAUAAAGGCAUCAAGAACAUCUGUACCUUCCCAACCAAGAGGACACCCUCCAUACUGCUGCCGCUGCCCCGUGCUCCUGCCUCCGUUGAACUGGUCGGCUCGCGCACCAUCACCUCCGUUGCCGCAGCCGCCGAGCACCAUGCCGCCGUCUUGAAGAAGCAAUGGACAGGGAGUGGAUGGGGUGGAUGCGAGGAGUCGUGGAGGGCGGCAGGAGGCUAGUGAGCGCCGGCGAGAUGCGGAGGACGCGGGAGAAGCAGCGCUGGAGUGAGAUGUGUCUGCUCGAUGUGCAGCGGCGGCGCCGCACACGGGAGGAGCCAGAGGAAAUCGCGAAC
rnacentral:lncRNA from 1 species